rnacentral:misc_RNA from 1 species
AAAGUCGUAACAAGGUUUCCGUAGGUGAACCUGCGGAAGGAUCAUUACCGAAUGACCCGCACCUCGCCUUGUGCGUGGGUGUUCAUUAGUGCCUCUUGAUCUUGAUCUUGGUGCUCACCUCAAGCGGUGCGAUGGGGUGGUGCCACUUUGGGAGAUCAAUCACCCAUGGUAUGCCUGGUUGGGUUCUACAACCGGUCAUAUUGCCGAGAACCUGACCAAGUGGCACCACUUUCAAGAUGUCCUAUGCUACACACAAACCUGUCAUGGUAUGGCUUGAACAUGAACACAUAAUACAACUUUCAACAACGGAUCUCUUGGCUCUC